GGGCGAAUAGCUCAGCGGUAGAGCACCUCGUUUACACCGAGAUUGUCGGGGGUUCGAUCCCCUCUUCGCCCA
rnacentral:tRNA from 1 species